AAUUAGUGUCUUGCCCUCUACACUUUAUCUUUGUGAAGUCUUCGACGUGGAGAAUCUUGUCUUCUUUAUCAACCUUCUUCAAAUUUCUUCAAAAUUCAUCAUUUUUUUGAUCGAUUGGACUUGUUAGAUCUUGUCGAUGUGCUUUGGGAUGUAACAUUUUGCUUUGCAACCCUCAUAGGAGGAUUCCUAAUGGUAAGCCAUUGUGUCAACUUUCCAUCCCAAUUUUGUUGUCUUUCGUGUGAUAUCAUUGUGCUUUUGGUCGUACUGCUUUGCAAGUGUCUAGGCGAAAAAUCCCCUUGCAUCGCAACAUUGGAAAAUGUGUUGUCUAGGAGUUCAUCCUCUUCCCCCUCUUCAGAAAGAUUUGUGCCAUAUCCACUCCAAAAGUGUCAGUUGGAUUGAAUCCUGGAACAAUUAUUGCUCGGUCGUUCGGAAGAUUACCAAGAUCUCUCAAGCUGCCCAUAUCAUGUGAAACAAUAGCAGGAAGGAUAUUUGUUGGUGUUAAAUUGUAUGUUGCUGAUAUCGAACUGUCAAUUCCAGUAGCUACUGCCUUGUGAGUCGUUGAAAUUUUGAUCUCCUUCGAAGCUGCUAAAUUAUUCGCCUUUUGUUGUUGUCCGGAUGGUACAAAUACAACAACAUUUAGACUCAAACCUAUUUUCUUUGGGACACUGUCAGUCGAUUUAGAAAUUUGCUUGCUUUGCACAGCUACUGCUUGGUCAUGAGAUGGAGGUGCUGCUGAAAAUCGAGCUGCCGGAUUUGCAUAAUCAGUGUCAAAGAUAUAUGUAUUAUCUUCUUCCGCCUCUUGAACAUGGUCAACCCAAGUCUUUUGAUUCAGUGUAAAUGCACUCGUGACCCCUUGAUGCUCCUUUGAAUUAGUUAACUCAUUUGUGGAUGUUUGAGAGAGCGAUGCCAAAUAUGUUUUUGUUGUUUGUUGUUUCCCGUUGACAGUAGCUAUCCUGAAUCAUCUGCUUGUUCACCAAAAGACUCGAUCGAUUGGGAGGGUACCUCAAAGACAGUUGUAUUCAAUGUGACAAGCGAUGCCUUCAUCUUUGUAGUUGUGUUCAUCAUCAUAGCUGCCUGGGCAUCCUUUACCAGUUAUGCUAGUUCAGGAUCAGAAAUAUGCAGUGUUGGAGUUGCUGCAUCAGUUGGUAGUGUAUGCUUACAAUUUUGAUCAUUAACAGUUACGAGCUGAAGUCAAGCACGUUGGUCUUUCGUAUUCUUUUGCUCUUUUUCACUAUCUUUGUAUCAUGUAUUUGCAAUUACUGGUGUUGCUGUAUCCUCCAGCUGUUGCUCUGUAUGCCCAGCCUCAUUCAUAGCAUGCUCACCCUCACACAGCAACGCGUCAAAAGAGUUGGAGAUCCCAAUGAUUGUCGAUGAGACAAUCUGACUGUGAAGGGUUGGAGUUUGCUUCUUGGUUAGUGAUCUAUUCACCCCUGUCCGGUUCUUACUCUUUGUAUAUGAUUUUCUUGUAGAUGUAGCUGAUUGCCUUGGAGUGUCAUAUACCCGCCCAGCAUAUUUAGCCACUGAAUGAAUUGUCGUAGUUCGAUCCUCAUUUUUUUGCAAAUAAGCAUUAUAUUUGAAAACCCCAGUUGUUGCCUGCUCCCUUCUAGUUGAUCCUUAAAAUUGUGUAGCCUCUAUAUUGAUCCCCUUAGACCCUGUUGAAGCUGCAUAUUGUCUGCAUAUUGUAAUGCCUCAGCACCCAAUUUAGCAGUAGGUUUAAACACCCUAGUGGUAUGUCGAACACCAGGUGUUUCCGAUGCAGCAGUAUCCCCCAGUUUUGAAACAAUAGCGUCACUUCUCAAUGCCUUAGAAACUGUAGAUGUUGCAUAUUCUAAUUCCAUAACAUCUACUUUAUCAACAUUAGAUGUUGACCUCAAACGAACAACACCUUCUUGCUGCACACUAAAUACCUGAAAUUUAACAUCUUUUACAAUCUUUCCAAGUGAAUCAAUUUGUGCGUGAUUCUUAGCAUUUUGUACACGAUCAGCUCCAAUUAUUGCACUGCGGUCCACCAUCUGCUGAAGCUGCCCAUUUUCAAUAAUUAAACCUUUAAGAACUCCAUAUGAGAAUUGAUCACCCACAACCUCGUACAAUCUAGGCAAUAUAGAACUAGUAGCUGGAAUCACAGUUGCAUUCGAUGUCACUGCACAUUCCAAAUUUGAUCAUUGUCGAAUCUGCCCAAAAUCAUCAACAGAUGAAACUACUUCUAAACCUUCCUUUAGAGUAGCAUUUUGUUGAUCUACGACUGCCUGGAACUUCAACAUCUGGAGUUGUUCGUUAGAUUGAAAUUCAUGCCCAAUUCUUUUGACUUGUAAUCCUUGAGCCACCCUAGCCAAAGCUCGAUCAAUUGGUAUCUCGUCUAAAUUAGAAUUCUGCUCAAUCUUUUUCCCAGCAUCUGCUACGACCAAUUCCCCUGUUCCACACUCUUGCACAGUAUCCAUUUUGUGAGUUGUACCAGCUAGCACUUGCAAUGUCUUCUGCUGCCCAAUACUAUCAUCGUUUCCUGAGUUUUCUACAAGUUGUUGGCCAGUUCUCUUCGCAUUCAGAAACUCCCUAGUAUCUCCUUUUAAUUGUUCCACACUAGCCAUUUCGACAACAUGCAGUAGCGUAUGCGCUGCCCUGUUUUCCUUGUUAGGGCGAUCAUGUUUUAUCCACAACAACUGGUUUCCCACAUGCUGAAGCGAUUGACAACACCGAUUUCUUUGCAAACAAUAUUGGCGACGGAUUGUGAAACGAUAUCCACACUACUGCUUUUGAAGUUUCCUCUCUAGGAUUGAAUCCUAUCUUCCAUGGAAAUAUUCUUCACCUUUAGCCUUUAUAUAGCUAGCAGAUCUUGAUAAAACCAUAACAAAGUGUUCAUGGAGAUCGAUUAUUACCAAGAUAUGUAGGAAUUCGAGUUGUCCAAUAUUGCAUCGACCUUUAACUUCUAAUUGGACUGGGAGAAUCCGCCUUGGUUCUUGUAAAUCAGGUUUUCCAUAAGAAAACUUAAUAAUCACAGCUUGGUGCAAACCUUCUUCCAUGGUGAAUUGAUUAACAUCCUCCAUAGAAAAUUCGAUUAUUGGUGCUCCAUGGAUGAACUUCACUGGAAUCAAAGCAUGUUUGUGGAAUAGAAGGAUUAAUGUUUGGAUUAUUUUUGUUUUGAUGUUGCUCUCCCAUAUCCAAAGGUUGGGGAGAGAUUGUGGAAGCCAUGGCUUCUCUAGUUCCCCAUAAGAAGCUGCCCAAAACCGAAGAGAGAGGAGAGAGCGUUUAUUUUAGAGAGAGAAUUUUUUUUUCGUCUUGUUGCCUACGUUUUUGGUUCACAGCCUUGAAGUUUUUUCUCUUUUAAGUAUGCCAUUGAUCUUUGGAAUGAUUAUCCCUGGUAGUUUGCUGAGUUGUUCCCGUUUGUUUUAUAUUUUCCUGUUGUUCUGCAUUUUGGUCUUGCACCCCCAUCUUUUGCUUGGAAAUGUGAUUGUUGUUCUGACCUUGAAAGGAGUUGUUCUUGCUGAUGGUGUAGGGCAGUUGUAGCUGUAUUCCCAAUUGUAUUUUGGUUGACAUGUUUGUUUGAGGAUUCAGCAGAAGUUUUCCUUUUUUGCUCCUCUUCUUUUUUCUUGGUGGAUUAGUAAUAUUCCUAAUGUCCCAGGUGUUUGCAGUGUAAGCAAUAAGUUGGAAGGUCUUCAUACACCACUUCCAACCACUACCCGUCCCCAUUAACAUCCUGGUCAUCGUCAAAACCCAGCCACACAUGAUGAGGUCUAUCUUGGGAUAUAUCUACCUGCAUCUUCACUUUUGCAACACUUCCUCUGGUUUUUUGCAUUGAUGCAAGGUCAAGGUGGAGUACCUUACCAAUUGGUGACAACAAAAUAGAUAGGACCUCCCUAUAGUAGAAAUACCAUGGUAGUUCUGGUAUGACGAUCCAAACAGGGACAAUGGGAGUAUCUUUAUUAGGGUUGAAGUUUGGAGUCCAAGCUUGUAACUCCAUUCUUUGACCCUGAAUGUACAUGAAUUUCUUUGUCCAGACAGUUGUGUGAUCAUACUCAUUGUGUAGAUCAAUGUACACUGUCCUUGCAUUGAAGUGGGCUAUUUUGACUCCCCCCUGAGCUCAGUUUGAUAUAUGAAGCUUCACCUAAUUUGUUUCAUUCUUGGCAAGGUGUUUAGGAACUUGCCUACAAUAGUAUAUUGGCAUCUGUUGGCUAGAGUGACCAUAUAAUAUUUCCUGGUAAAGAUAACAGCUGGUCACGCUGUUUGGUAGUUAUUCUGGGUGGUUUGAAUUCUAUUGGUGUUAUAUCUACAGCCUGCCUGGCCCUUAAUUUUGUGGCUAAUGAUUGUGUGAUAGUAGGGGUGGUGGUGCAGGGUAGUUUGCUGAUGUAUUUUGUUGGACAAUUGUCUCUUUAGGAUUAUUGGAGUGGUUGGGUGUUUGAGGUUUGGAAAGAACUGCUGUUGUAUUGUUUUGAAUCUGGGCAGGAUAGUUAGUAGCUGUAGGUGUUCUAAAGGGCUGUAUGUCAAUUGGAUCCACUCCAUGCAGAUGCGUUAAAAACUGAACCUAUAUCUGGAACUUGCAAAAUGUAGCAAACAUGUUAGAAGGAAAGAUUCGGCUUCCAGGUUCUUGUGUGUUCUGGAAGCAGUGAAGAAUAUUGGGUUUUGAGUGUUGAAUGAAUGUUGAACGAAUGUUGUGGAUGCCUCAUUAAUGUGUGUGUAUUUCUUGAUUCUGCAAAAUGUAGCAUAAAGUUAGGAGGAAAGUAUUUUCUCCCAUUUUCUUAUGUGUUAUGGGAGUAGUGAAGAAAUAUUGGGUUGUGAUCGUGAGCGUAGUGUUGUGGAUGCAGCCUGGUUCAUAUAUUGUUGUUGUAUGUAGUCGAAUCACCUCUAGAAUGAGCAUGAUGACAUGCUAAUACCACCGGGAAGUAAUAAGAUAGCACACAAACAUGCAAUACUUCCCCAACUAAAGCAUGAAAACUCCAGAUGUGUAAGUAUGGCCUGGUUGUCACAUUGAAGGACAUGAGGUUCAUGUAAUCACAACACCAAUGAAUCAGUAGUAGCCAUACUAUAUUGCUUUGUGUUUGUGCAGUAGCAUCUAUAACCAAGCAAGAAGUGGAGGAUGUAUUGCUGUAAUCUAGCAGUAAGCAAUGGUAACAUUCAAAUACCAAUGGGAAUUGAUAUGAAAACAAGCAAUCCCUGAACAAUAACAAAUUGGUUGUCUUCACAUUUGGCAGAUUGGGCUGGAGCUGCAGACGCACUGUAGAUAAAGCAUAGUAGCCCUCGAAAUUGUUAUGUAUGCAACCAAGAUUUGCAUUGUAAAUUCCAAUGAUCUACACAGUUGAGCACAUCAUACUGAACUCCAACAGCAUAGGAAUGUUUCCACCAUGUUCUUAUAGCUUGGUGUAUCUGUACUAGGUUAGCUACUAAACCUGUUGCCUACCCAAAACUUCUCCACACUGUAGUUGUUGUACUACUUGUUAGGAAAAGAUGCUGAAGAGUGUCAGUUUCAGGUUUUAGACAGCACCAACAUUUCGAUACCACCAUGUAUUCAUUUCUUCUUCACAUAUCAUCUGUUGGUAUUUUUCCUUUCCAUAAUUGCCAUAGAAAGAAUGAUAUAUUGAAAGGUAAUCCUUUAGUCCACAGUUGUUUAUAUUCAGCAUUGUGUCUCAGUAAUUGCCAAGUUAUACCUACUGUAAAUCUCCCUGAUGUAAUAGGCAUCCAUAUCAGUGUGUCACAAUAUGCAUCAUUUAUGUCAUAGUGUAAUUCUUGUAUGAUGUGAGCUGGUAUCUAUGCUAGGAAUGUUUGAGCUAAUAGUUGAUGAUUCCAAUCAUUUCCUUCUUUCCACUCAGCUACUUCCUGAAGGUUUACAUUGAUGUCAAAUUCUCGGGGACCAAUUUUCUCCUCUUCAUUAAAAAUCACAUUAAAAUCACCUCCAACUACCCAUGGUAGUUCCAUGUCACUUGCAAGGUAGUAUAGACUGUCCCACAGUUCUAAUCUGUCUAGUGAUGAACACUUUGCAUAUACGAAAGUCAUCAUGAUAUGUUUACCAAUAUCUUGAUGAUACACUCUGAUAGUGAGUUGCUGCUCCGUGUCAAUCAACAAGUCCCACUGCACAACUGCAUCCAGAAAUAGCCAUAUAUUUCCAUUGACAUUUGAUAUCGAUGCAUCCAUGCCUAGUCUCCUCCUGUAGUUAUGAAUAAACCUUUGAUUUUGGAAAGGUUUCAUAAGUGCUAUAAUGACAAAACCAUGUUCCUUUUGCAUGUUGAUAACUCUCUGAAAGGCCUGCUAGGUCUUAACAAACCUUAUAUUCCAUAUGAGUGUUUUAAUCAUCAUCUAGUCGUGGAGGCUGCCUUUUGGGCAGUAUUCUUGUAGGUGGCAGCUGUUAAUAUUUGACCAACAAACCAGUUAAUGUAAGUUGAAUAUGCAUAUGGUAGAAGUAUCAUCCAGAUAGUCGUUGCACUUGACUAAGUUGUCUGCUUGAGCUUGUUGUUCAAUAGGGCUUGAUGAUGUUUUGAAAUGAUGUUCUGUUGAUGCAUUUGAAGAGGAGCUGUUGCAGAUGUGGAGUCAAACAACACUUAUGUGUUGGUGCUGCAUAAACCGAAAAUUAGUGGAGUUUCCUGGUGCUGUAAUGCCCUGCAUCAAAUAAAGCUACGAAUGCCUCAACAAUCUGAGCUUAUUUCUGGAAUUUAUGUGCAGCAACAGUACAACUUGAGCCUGCUGUGAAAUGAUUUUAUGUUGAUGUUAUAAAAUCACUCCUUGCCAUUGCC
rnacentral:lncRNA from 1 species